GACUAAUGUUGAAAAAUUAGCGGAUGACUUGUGGCUAGGGGUGAAAGGCCAAUCAAACUCGGAGAUAGCUGGUUCUCCCCGAAAUCUAUUUAGGUAGAGCCUCGGACGAAUACUACUGGGGGUAGAGCACUGUUAAGGCUAGGGGGUCAUCCCGACUUACCAACCCUUUGCAAACUCCGAAUACCAGUAAGUACUAUCCGGGAGACACACGGCGGGUGCUAACGUCCGUCGUGAAGAGGGAAACAACCCAGACCGCCAGCUAAGGUCCCAAAGUUAUCGCUAAGUGGGAAACGAUGUGGGAAGGUCAGACAGCCAGGAUGUUGGCUUAGAAGCAGCCAUCAUUUAAAGAAAGCGUAAUAGCUCACUGGUCGAGUCGGCCUGCGCGGAAGAUGUAACGGGGCUAAGCGAUACACCGAAGCUGCGGCAAUGUGCUUAUGCAUAUUGGGUAGGGGAGCGUUCUGUAAGCCGUUGAAGGUGAACUGUAAGGUUUGCUGGAGGUAUCAGAAGUGCGAAUGCUGACAUGAGUAACGAUAAAGGGAGGUGAAAAACUCCCUCGCCGGAAGACCAAGGGUUCCUGUCCAACGUUAAUCGGGGCAGGGUAAGUCGACCCCUAAGGCGAGGCUGAAAAGCGUAGUCGAUGGGAAACGGGUUAAUAUUCCCGUACUGCUUAUAACUGCGAUGGGGGACGGAGAAGGCUAGGUGGGCCUCGCGACGGUUGUCGAGGUUCAAGUGCGUAGGC
rnacentral:rRNA from 1 species